rnacentral:rRNA from 1 species
GGUACCUGGAAGAAUAAGCACCGGCUAACUACAUGCCAGCAGCCGCGGUAAUACGUAGGGUGCAAGCGUUAAUCGGAAUUACUGGGCGUAAAGCGUGCGCAGGCGGUUAUGCAAGACAGAUGUGAAAUCCCCGGGCUCAACCUGGGAACUGCAUUUGUGACUGCAUGGCUAGAGUACGGCAGAGGGGGAUGGAAUUCCGCGUGUAGCAGUGAAAUGCGUAGAUAUGCGGAGGAACACCGAUGGCGAAGGCAAUCCCCUGGGCCUGUACUGACGCUCAUGCACGAAAGCGUGGGGAGCAAACAGGAUUAGAUACCCUGGUAGUCCACGCCCUAAACGAUGUCAACUGGUUGUUGGGAGGGUUUCUUCUCAGUAACGUAGCUAACGCGUGAAGUUGACCGCCUGGGGAGUACGGCCGCCAGGUUGAAACUCAAAGGAAUUGACUGAAACUCAAAAGAAUUGUU